GGGGGAUUAGCUCAGUUGGCUAGAGCGCCUGCUUUGCAAGCAGGAGGUCAUCGGUUCGACUCCGAUAUUCUCCAC
rnacentral:tRNA from 1 species